rnacentral:rRNA from 1 species
UACCAGACUCCUACGGGAGGCAGCAGUGGGGAAUAUUGCACAAUGGGGGAAACCCUGAUGCAGCGACGCCGCGUGAGCGAAGAAGUAUUUCGGUAUGUAAAGCUCUCUCAGCAGGGAAGAAAAUGACGGUACCUGAGUAAGAAGCUCCGGCUAAAUACGUGCCAGCAGCCGCGGUAAUACGUAUGGAGCAAGCGUUAUCCGGUUUUACUGGGCGUAAAGGGAGCGUAGGGGGCCUGCCAAGUCUGAUGUGAAAUACCGGGGCUCAAGCCCGGGGCGGCAUUGAAAACGGGCGGGGUGGGGUGACGGAGAGGCAGGCGGAAUUCCUGGGGUAGGGGGGAAAUGCG